rnacentral:tRNA from 1 species
GGGCCCGUGGCCUAGUCUGGAUAAGGCACUGGCCUUCUAAGCCAGUGAUCCCGGGUUCAAAUCCCGGCGGGCCCG